rnacentral:rRNA from 1 species
GGGUUGUGAGGUUAAGCGACUAAGCGUACACGGUGGAUGCCCUGGCAGUCAGAGGCGAUGAAGGGCGUGCUAAUCUGCGAUAAGCGCCGGUAAGGUGAUAUGAACCGUUAUAACCGGCGAUACCCGAAUGGGGAAACCCAGUGUGAUUCGUCACACUAUCAUUAACUGAAUCCAUAGGUUAAUGAGGCGAACCGGGGGAACUGAAACAUCUAAGUACCCCGAGGAAAAGAAAUCAACCGAGAUUCCCCCAGUAGCGGCGAGCGAACGGGGAGGAGCCCAGAGCCUGAAUCAGCAUGUGUGUUAGUGGAAGCGUCUGGAAAGGCGCGCGAUACAGGGUGACAGCCCCGUACACAAAAGCGCAUGUGCUGUGAGCUCGAUGAGUAGGGCGGGACACGUGGUAUCCUGUCUGAAUAUGGGGGGACCAUCCUCCAAGGCUAAAUACUCCUGACUGACCGAUAGUGAACCAGUACCGUGAGGGAAAGGCGAAAAGAACCCCGGCGAGGGGAGUGAAAAAGAACCUGAAACCGUGUACGUACAAGCAGUGGGAGCACAGGUUUACCUGUGUGACUGCGUACCUUUUGUAUAAUGGGUCAGCGACUUAUAUUCUGUAGCAAGGUUAACCGAAUAGGGGAGCCGGAGGGAAACCGAGUCUUAAUUGGGCGUUAAGUUGCAGGGUAUAGACCCGAAACCCGGUGAUCUAGCCAUGGGCAGGUUGAAGGUUGGGUAACACUAACUGGAGGACCGAACCGACUAAUGUUGAAAAAUUAGCGGAUGACCUGUGGCUGGGGGUGAAAGGCCAAUCAAACCGGGAGAUAGCUGGUUCUCCCCGAAAGCUAUUUAGGUAGCGCCUCGUGAAUUCAUCUCCGGGGGUAGAGCACUGUUUCGGCUAGGGGGCCAUCCCGGCUUACCAACCCGAUGCAAACUGCGAAUACCGGAGAAUGUUAUCACGGGAGACACACGGCGGGUGCUAACGUCCGUCGUGAAGAGGGAAACAACCCAGACCGCCAGCUAAGGUCCCAAAGUCAUGGUUAAGUGGGAAACGAUGUGGGAAGGCCCAGACAGCCAGGAUGUUGGCUUAGAAGCAGCCAUCAUUUAAAGAAAGCGUAAUAGCUCACUGGUCGAGUCGGCCUGCGCGGAAGAUGUAACGGGGCUAAACCAUGCACCGAAGCUGCGGCAGCGNNGUUGGGUAGGGGAGCGUUCUGUAAGCCUGUGAAGGUGGCCUGUGAGGGUUGCUGGAGGUAUCAGAAGUGCGAAUGCUGACAUAAGUAACGAUAAAGCGGGUGAAAAGCCCGCUCGCCGGAAGACCAAGGGUUCCUGUCCAACGUUAAUCGGGGCAGGGUGAGUCGACCCCUAAGGCGAGGCCGAAAGGCGUAGUCGAUGGGAAACGGGUUAAUAUUCCCGUACUUGGUGUUACUGCGAAGGGGGGACGGAGAAGGCUAUGUUGGCCGGGCGACGGUUGUCCCGGUUUAAGCGUGUAGGUGUGUGUUCCAGGUAAAUCCGGUUCACUUUAACACUGAGGCGUGAUGACGAGGCACUACGGUGCUGAAGUAACAAAUGCCCUGCUUCCAGGAAAAGCCUCUAAGCAUCAGGUAACAUCAAAUCGUACCCCAAACCGACACAGGUGGUCAGGUAGAGAAUACCAAGGCGCUUGAGAGAACUCGGGUGAAGGAACUAGGCAAAAUGGUGCCGUAACUUCGGGAGAAGGCACGCUGACACGUAGGUGAAGUGAUUUACUCACGGAGCUGAAGUCAGUCGAAGAUACCAGCUGGCUGCAACUGUUUAUUAAAAACACAGCACUGUGCAAACACGAAAGUGGACGUAUACGGUGUGACGCCUGCCCGGUGCCGGAAGGUUAAUUGAUGGGGUCAGCGCAAGCGAAGCUCCUGAUCGAAGCCCCGGUAAACGGCGGCCGUAACUAUAACGGUCCUAAGGUAGCGAAAUUCCUUGUCGGGUAAGUUCCGACCUGCACGAAUGGCGUAAUGAUGGCCAGGCUGUCUCCACCCGAGACUCAGUGAAAUUGAACUCGCUGUGAAGAUGCAGUGUACCCGCGGCAAGACGGAAAGACCCCGUGAACCUUUACUAUAGCUUGACACUGAACAUUGAGCCUUGAUGUGUAGGAUAGGUGGGAGGCUUUGNNCCGGGUUGCGGACAGUGUCUGGUGGGUAGUUUGACUGGGGCGGUCUCCUCCUAAAGAGUAACGGAGGAGCACGAAGGUUGGCUAAUCCUGGUCGGACAUCAGGAGGUUAGUGCAAUGGCAUAAGCCAGCUUGACUGCGAGCGUGACGGCGCGAGCAGGUGCGAAAGCAGGUCAUAGUGAUCCGGUGGUUCUGAAUGGAAGGGCCAUCGCUCAACGGAUAAAAGGUACUCCGGGGAUAACAGGCUGAUACCGCCCAAGAGUUCAUAUCGACGGCGGUGUUUGGCACCUCGAUGUCGGCUCAUCACAUCCUGGGGCUGAAGUAGGUCCCAAGGGUAUGGCUGUUCGCCAUUUAAAGUGGUACGCGAGCUGGGUUUAGAACGUCGUGAGACAGUUCGGUCCCUAUCUGCCGUGGGCGCUGGAGAACUGAGGGGGGCUGCUCCUAGUACGAGAGGACCGGAGUGGACGCAUCACUGGUGUUCGGGUUGUCAUGCCAAUGGCACUGCCCGGUAGCUAAAUGCGGAAGAGAUAAGUGCUGAAAGCAUCUAAGCACGAAACUUGCCCCGAGAUGAGUUCUCCCUGAGACUUAGAGUCUCCUGAAGGAACGUUGAAGACGACGACGUUGAUAGGCCGGGUGUGUAAGCGCAGCGAUGCGUUGAGCUAACCGGUACUAAU